CCUACGGGUGGCUGCAGUGAGGAAUAUUGGUCAAUGGGCGAGAGCCUGAACCAGCCAAGUCGCGUGAGGGAAGACGGUCCUAUGGAUUGUAAACCUCUUUUGCCGGGGAGCAAAAAGCGGUACGUGUACCGCAUCGAGAGUACCCGGAGAAAAAGCAUCGGCUAACUCCGUGCCAGCAGCCGCGGUAAUACGGAGGAUGCGAGCGUUAUCCGGAUUUAUUGGGUUUAAAGGGUGCGCAGGCGGCGAGUUAAGUCAGCGGUAAAAUUGAGAGGCUCAACCUCUUCGAGCCGUUGAAACUGGUUUUCUUGAGUGAGCGAGAAGUAUGCGGAAUGCGUGGUGUAGCGGUGAAAUGCAUAGAUAUCACGCAGAACUCCGAUUGCGAAGGCAGCAUACCGGCGCUCAACUGACGCUCAUGCACGAAAGUGUGGGUAUCGAACAGGAUUAGAUACCCGAGUAGUC
rnacentral:rRNA from 1 species